rnacentral:lncRNA from 1 species
CCCAACCAACCAAGAAGCAGAACAGUUUUAAAGCUCUCUCCCAACCAACCAAGAAGCAGAACAGUUUUAAAGCUCUCCCAACCAACCAAGAAGCAUCGCUGAAGUAGCGAGACAUUUUCUUCAUGUUUACAUUGUAAAAAGCUAUCCUUGCAUGGGCGAUACUAGGCCAUGACCUUGUAAGGCUAUUUGUUUCUUAGUUAAUACUAGUAACUCAUGACAUUUCUGUUAUCCUUGAAUAACCUGAAACAGAGAUAAUUUUUGCUACUGGAUAAGCAAAACAGAAAAGGUUUUCCGUGGAUUUAGAUAGAUUUACCAUGUGUAAAGUGGAAAACAGGACCUUCGUAAGAACUGAUAUUUGCUGAAAAGAACCAGAACUUCAGCAAAUUAUGUGCAAAAAUCUCCCUCAAACUUGCUGCAUAACAGUAAAGUGACCAAGAUAGAUAAUGACCUGUAAAUUACAUGAUGACAGAUCGCUUCCAGAUAAGAAUUAAACACAAUUCAGUUCAGUCAAGUGUUUCAAUGGACAGUUGAAUGAACCUUACCAGCAACUGCACAGUUCACCAGUGUAGACAUGUUUGACAGUACAACGUAGAUAAUAUGUCCAAGAGCCAAGUAUGUGAUAUCAGAGCACUAGGAAAAUAAGAAACUAGAGAAGCAACAAUAGCAAUGACAUAGGACCCUUCAAUAGGUGAUUUCCCUUUACCAGAAAGCAGUGAGGACAUAUACAUUAAUCGUCAUACUAAACCAGACAAUUUGAUGCCCCUAAAUCAAACCUGCAAACAUAUCUAGGUAGAAAAUACAUUUUGCAUAGAUGCAAAAAAAGGAAAUGAUCCACACAAGACCAAGUUCAAUCACUUUAAGCAUCUGGAACUGCAAUGUAGAAUUGUCAAACAUUAAAUCCACACACAGUUUCUUCAUGGUUUUGGAAAGUAACACAAACUCCCUGUAGUGGAUCCUCUUGGUUCUCAAAACACUACAUCUGAACCUUAGGUGUAAACUGUAAUGGCAGUUCAUGUACUUUCCAUGUGCAAAACCAGAGGCACUCACAGAUAUGGAGCCACCUAGAUUCCCUAAUGUACUAUCACUACAAAUUCUAAAUCCAUUAAAUCUUCCGAGAAAAACCAAUCUUUCUAAAGUCUCCAACGUCAUGAAGAGCAGUACUUGUACAGCAGGUAAACUCUCAGAAUCUUGUAGAUUCCUAAAAGGGUUUUCUGCAGCCUUCAUUUUGCUAUGUACUUUGGAAAGCAUAACCAUGACAAACAACCACAUCCAGAAAUUAAGCAACUUUACCAAUUACGUAGCAGUAGAGUAUGAAACAAGGCAUAAAUGAAAAUUCAAAGCCAAAGUUGAAGUCCUUCAUAUAUCCCAAGAAAAAUAAAAAGUUGAAAUCUUGAGUCCAGUUAUGCCAAUAAAGAAAAGAAAAACCCAACAACAAAAACAAUCAAAUCAAAUCAAAUAAAACCACCCACUUGAUGAAACCCUAAGACACAAAUCUCUGAAAUCUAAACACAUACAUAACCAAAAAAAAAAAAACGAAAGUACUAACCCAGUGAGACAAAACCAAAGAAAAUUGACAGACAGAAACUUUUCACUUAAAGCGGACAAAAACAGAACAAGAGUAAGGGAUCAAAUCACUAACAGGUAAGAUUAUAACUGUAACUUACUAAUCAACCAAUUUUAAAUUAAACAUUCAUUUUUAAAACAUAUUAAGAGAUAGAAGUGAUCAAAACACCAACAAAAUAUCAAACAGGAAAGAAAACCCAUGUGAGAAAUUACCUUAUCUUCUCCUCCUCCUCCUCCUCACUAAGUGGACCUGACAUUUGCUACUCCAUUAAUUAAUCAACACUAGUACACUGUCAUUAUUUUUCAUUUAUGGUGGUGUGUAUUUUUCUUUUCUUUCGCAGUAAACGGUAGUAAGCG